UCUUCCUUCCUUUUGUGGGGAGCUCGGAAGUGAGCAGGCUCAUCUGUCACUGCAUCCCUUGAAAGCAGUCGUGUCAUCAGCCUAAGCACGGAGCUGCUUCAAGAGACCCUGGGAGUGGAUGCAAGGGUUCAUUGGGUCAAAAAAGGGAAAUUUUUUGAAUCACUUGUUUCCCGUGUUAGAAUGGAUUUAGCUUCCGAUCCCCAGCUCCUGUUAGGAAAUAAUGUACUGUGAUCUUCCAGGUAAAGUGCCCAGGGAAUACCCUGGAGUAAGAACAGAAACGGAAAGAGCUGACGACCUGCUGCGUGGAUGUCUGCAUCGCAGGGGCUGCGCUGCCACGUAGAAACCAGCUGCAAGACCAAAAAGAAAAGAAAGGUUUCUGCUAAUGGGAAGCAACAGAGGAGAGCAGAGGCAUGUCUGGGAAUUGUAG